GAUGAACGCUGGCGGCGUGCCUAAUACAUGCAAGUCGAGCGAACAGACGAGGAGCUUGCUCCUCUGACGUUAGCGGCGGACGGUUGAGUAACACGUGGAUAACCUACCUAUAAGACUGGGAUAACUUCGGGAAACCGGAGCUAAUACCGGAUAAUAUAUUGAACCGCAUGGUUCAAUAGUGAAAGACGGUUUUGCUGUCACUUAUAGAUGGAUCCGCGCCGCAUUAGCUAGUUGGUAAGGUAACGGCUUACCAAGGCAACGAUGCGUAGCCGACCUGAGAGGGUGAUCGGCCACACUGGAACUGAGACACGGUCCAGACUCCUACGGGAGGCAGCAGUAGGGAAUCUUCCGCAAUGGGCGAAAGCCUGACGGAGCAACGCCGCGUGAGUGAUGAAGGUCUUCGGAUCGUAAAACUCUGUUAUUAGGGAAGAACAAAUGUGUAAGUAACUAUGCACGUCUUGACGGUACCUAAUCAGAAAGCCACGGCUAACUACGUG
rnacentral:rRNA from 1 species